rnacentral:rRNA from 1 species
AGAGUUUGAUCAUGGCUCAGGACGAACGCUGGCGGCGUGCUUAACACAUGCAAGUCGAACGAGAAUCUGUGGAAAGAGGAUUCGUCCAAUUGAAGCAGAGGACAGUGGCGGACGGGUGAGUAACGCGUGAGGAACCUGCCUUUCAGAGGGGGACAACAGUUGGAAACGACUGCUAAUACCGCAUGACAUAUAGAUGUCGCAUGGCAUUUAUAUCAAAGAUUUAUCGCUGAAAGAUGGCCUCGCGUCUGAUUAGCUAGUUGGUGAGGUAACGGCCCACCAAGGCGACGAUCAGUAGCCGGACUGAGAGGUUGAACGGCCACAUUGGGACUGAGAUACGGCCCAGACUCCUACGGGAGGCAGCAGUGGGGAAUAUUGGGCAAUGGGCGCAAGCCUGACCCAGCAACGCCGCGUGAAGGAAGAAGGCUUUCGGGUUGUAAACUUCUUUUGUCAGGGACGAGUAGAAGACGGUACCUGACGAAUAAGCCACGGCUAACUACGUGCCAGCAGCCGCGGUAAUACGUAGGUGGCAAGCGUUGUCCGGAUUUACUGGGUGUAAAGGGAGCGCAGGCGGGAAGACAAGUUGGAAGUGAAAUCUAUGGGCUCAACCCAUAAACUGCUUUCAAAACUGUUUUUCUUGAGUAGUGCAGAGGUAGGCGGAAUUCCCGGUGUAGCGGUGGAAUGCGUAGAUAUCGGGAGGAACACCAGUGGCGAAGGCGGCCUACUGGGCACCAACUGACGCUGAGGCUCGAAAGUGUGGGUAGCAAACAGGAUUAGAUACCCUGGUAGUCCACACCGUAAACGAUGAUUACUAGGUGUUGGAGGAUUGACCCCUUCAGUGCCGCAGUUAACACAAUAAGUAAUCCACCUGGGGAGUACGACCGCAAGGUUGAAACUCAAAGGAAUUGACGGGGGCCCGCACAAGCAGUGGAGUAUGUGGUUUAAUUCGACGCAACGCGAAGAACCUUACCAAGUCUUGACAUCCCUUGACAGGCAUAGAAAUAUGUUUUCUCUUCGGAGCAAGGAGACAGGUGGUGCAUGGUUGUCGUCAGCUCGUGUCGUGAGAUGUUGGGUUAAGUCCCGCAACGAGCGCAACCCUUAUGGUCAGUUACUACGCAAGAGGACUCUGGCCAGACUGCCGUUGACAAAACGGAGGAAGGUGGGGAUGACGUCAAAUCAUCAUGCCCUUUAUGACUUGGGCUACACACGUACUACAAUGGCGUUAAACAAAGAGAAGCAAGACCGCGAGGUGGAGCAAAACUCAGAAACAACGUCCCAGUUCGGACUGCAGGCUGCAACUCGCCUGCACGAAGUCGGAAUUGCUAGUAAUCGUGGAUCAGCAUGCCACGGUGAAUACGUUCCCGGGCCUUGUACACACCGCCCGUCACACCAUGAGAGCCGGGGGGACCCGAAGUCGGUAGUCUAACCGCAAGGAGGACGCCGCCGAAGGUAAAACUGGUGAUUGGGGUGAAGUCGUAACAAGGU